AUACGGAGGAUGCGAGCGUUAUCCGGAUUUAUUGGGUUUAAAGGGAGCGUAGGUGGGAUAUUAAGUCAGCUGUGAAAGUUUGGGGCUCAACCUUAAAAUUGCAGUUGAUACUGGUUUCCUUGAGUACGGUAUAGGUGGGCGGAAUUCGUGGUGUAGCGGUGAAAUGCUUAGAUAUCACGAAGAACUCCGAUCGCGAAGGCAGCUCACCGGGCCGGAACUGACACUGAUGCUCGAAAGUGCGGGUAUCAAACAGGAUUAGAUACCCUGGUAGUCCACGCAGUAAACGAUGAUUACUAGCUGUUUGCGAUAUACAGUAAGUGGCACAGCGAAAGCGUUAAGUAAUCCACCUGGGGAGUACGCCGGCAACGGUGAAACUCAAAGGAAUUGACGGGG
rnacentral:rRNA from 1 species